rnacentral:rRNA from 1 species
CCUACGGGGGGCUGCAGUGGGGGAUAUUGCACAAUGGGGGAAACCCUGAUGCAGCGACGCCGCGUGAGUGAAGAAGUAUUUCGGUACGUAAAGCUCUAUCAGCAGGGAAGAAAAUGACGGUACCUGACUAAGAAGCCCCGGCUAACUACGUGCCAGCAGCCGCGGUAAUACGUAGGGGGCAAGCGUUAUCCGGAUUUACUGGGUGUAAAGGGAGCGUAGACGGCAGCGCAAGUCUGGAGUGAAAGCCCAUGGCUUAACCAUGGAACUGCUUUGGAAACUGUGCAGCUAGAGUGCAGGAGAGGUAAGCGGAAUUCCUAGUGUAGCGGUGAAAUGCGUAGAUAUUAGGAGGAACACCAGUGGCGAAGGCGGCUUACUGGACUGUAACUGACGUUGAGGCUCGAAAGCGUGGGGAGCAAACAGGAUUAGAUACCCUGGUAGUC